rnacentral:rRNA from 1 species
AGAUUGAACGCUGGCGGCAGGCCUAACACAUGCAAGUCGAGCGGUAGAGAGGUGCUUGCACCUCUUGAGAGCGGCGGACGGGUGAGUAAUGCCUAGGAAUCUGCCUAGUGGUGGGGGAUAACGUUCGGAAGCGGACGCUAAUACCGCAUACGUCCUACGGGAGAAA